rnacentral:misc_RNA from 1 species
AAUUCUCAAAACCUAUUGUUCUUCUUGAAUGGUAGGCUUUGGAUGUGAGGGCUUUGCUGGCCUUUGACAGGUUCAGCUCCCUUCGAAUGCAUUAGUGGUUGCUUAUCCGCUUUCAAUUGGUGUGAUAGUUAUCUACGCCUUUUGAAACGGAAUACAGAUGAACUGCUUCUAAUAGUUUAUAAUAAAAUUUCAAG